rnacentral:rRNA from 1 species
CAGCAGCCGCGGGAAUACGUAGGGUGCGAGCGUUAAUCGGAAUUACUGGGCGUAAAGCGUGCGCAGGCGGUUGUGUAAGACAGGUGUGAAAUCCCCGGGCUUAACCUGGGAACUGCGCUUGUGACUGCACAGCUAGAGUAUGGCAGGGGGGGUGGAAUUCCACGUGUAGCAGUGAAAUGCGUAGAGAUGUGGAGGAACACCGAUGGCGAAGGCAGCCCCCUGGGCCAAUACUGACGCUCAUGCACGAAAGCGUGGGGAGCAAACAGGAUUAGAUACCCGCGUAGUCCCUGUCUCUUAUACA